GACGAACGCUGGCGGCGUGCUUAACACAUGCAAGUCGAACGGAAAGGCCCUGCUUUUGUGGGGUGCUCGAGUGGCGAACGGGUGAGUAACACGUGAGUAACCUGCCCUUGACUUUGGGAUAACUUCAGGAAACUGGGGCUAAUACCGGAUAGGAGCUCCUGCUGCAUGGUGGGGGUUGGAAAGUUUCGGCGGUUGGGGCUGGACUCGCGGCUUAUCAGCUUGUUGGUGGGGUAGUGGCUUACCAAGGCUUUGACGGGUAGCCGGCCUGAGAGGGUGACCGGGCACAUUGGGACUGCGAUACGGCCCAGACUCCUACGGGAGGCAGCAGUGGGGAAUAUUGCACAAUGGGCGGAAGCCUGAUGCAGCAACGCCGCGUGCGGGAUGACGGCCUUCGGGUUGAAAACCGCUUUCGCAUGUGACGAAGCGUGAGUGACGGUAAUGGGUAAAGAAGCACCGGCUAACUACGUG
rnacentral:rRNA from 1 species